AUACGGAGGGUGCAAGCGUUACUCGGAAUCACUGGGCGUAAAGCGCGCGCAGGCAGUCUUUUAAGUUGGAUGUGAAAGCCUACGGCUCAACCGUAGAACUGCAUCCAAAACUAUUAGACUAGAGUGUGGGAGAGGAAGAUGGAAUUAGUUGUGUAGGGGUAAAAUCCGUAGAGAUAACUAGGAAUACCAAAAGCGAAGGCAAUCUUCUGGAACACUACUGACGCUGAGGCGCGAAAGCGUGGGGAGCAAACAGGAUUAGAAACCCUAGUAGUCC
rnacentral:rRNA from 1 species